AGUGAGUUUGUUUCUAACAACUAAACCUAGGCCCAUGCAAAUUCAGCUCUGGUUCUACUUCCAUUUCAAGAUCAUCUAAUCGCUGCCAGCUUCAAGGAUACUGGGUACUUAAAAUACUAACACUCAAUGAAUUAUAACCUUAAGUGCUCUAAAGUGAAACCAAUAUUUCUAUUUUUCCUGAGCACCAUGGUUGCUACAUAGGAUGAAUAAGGCAUUUCCAUUUCUGAAUUGGCUGUUUGAUGCACAGAACCGGUUAAUGAAUCGUUGCAUAGGCUUAAUCUUGAUGCAGCAUGCAAUUCAGUGCUAUUAUUUCAUCACUUUCAUUGCGGCUUCCUGCUCGUCAAUAACAACAAGGAGACGACUGGUGCAUUCAACUGAUGUUAUAUGAUAAGGAUCGACUCUUGGGGGGGGGGGCAUUAAAAACAGAUAAACAAAGCUCAUCGAUGACACAAAUUUAUUUGGCUUACAUAAUCAUCAUUAUUGUGCUAACAAAAUGAAAGAGAAGGUCUUGGAUUCACGAGCUCAGUGAAUAACAGUAUUUAUAUACUCUGUCCUAUCACAUAUUUGUGUAAUUAUAGUGGAAUCAUUUUUAUUCUGAGGGCCAAAAUUUUUCUGCUUUGUGGGGAUGUAAAUUGGUACAACCUUGUGGCAAGUUCAGGAUAAUUUUAAUAAAUAAUAAACAAAAGUUUGUAAUAAAGUUCCUCAGAAUGUAAUUUUGUGGGCAAGGGUUAAAUUUUCAUUUCAAUAUAAAUCAAUAUGGUAAUCUUAUAAAAAAAAAAAUUGUGCAAGAAGUUUUGAGAUCUUUUAAUGGAUACUGUCAGAUUUUUCCAAAAUAAAUCUCUGUAAGG
rnacentral:sRNA from 1 species